GAUGAACGCUGGCGGCGUGCCUAAUACAUGCAAGUCGAGCGAACGGACGAGAAGCUUGCUUUUCUGAUGUUAGCGGCGGACGGGUGAGUAACACGUGGAUAACCUACCUAUAAGACUGGGAUAACUUCGGGAAACCGGAUCUAAUACCGGAUAAUAUUUUGAACCGCAUGGUUCAAAAGUGAAAGACGGUCUUGCUGUCACUUAUAGAUGGAUCCGCGCUGCAUUAGCUAGUUGGUAAGGUAACGGCUUACCAAGGCAACGAUGCAUAGCCGACCUGAGAGAGUGAUCGGCCACCCUGGAGCUGAGACACGGUCCAGGCUCCUACGGGAGGCAGCAGUAGGGAAUCUGCCGCAGUGGGCGAAAGCAUGACGGAGCGAGGCGGCGUGAGUGAUGGAGGUCUUCGGAUCGUAAAACUCUGUUAUGAGGGAAGAACAUAUGUGUAAGUAACUGUGCACAUCUUGACGGUACCUAAUCAGAAAGCCACGGCUAACUACGUG
rnacentral:rRNA from 1 species